CUCUACCGGCUUAUAAGCUCUGCUCCUCGCAGUCUCCAGUGCCAGAACGUCUCGAGCCUUACGGUGAGAACUUCCAGCCAUCUUCCUGAGAAUCUGUCUGCCUGUCUGCCUGUCGACCUGUUUUGCCCUUGUUUUUUGAGCCAGCCUGAGCCCUUUUGGAUUUGUCUGCCUGCCUGAGUCCUGUUCGUCAGCCUCAGAGAUUUGGACUGCCCUCCUGUGUUUCGGACCCUGCCAGCCUGUGAGUUACGGAGAUUGCUUGCCCCUUUUUGUCUGUUGUGCUUCUGGAUUGGAUUUGGAUUUGGAUUGGAUCUGGACCUGGACCCGUUCUCUGGAUUCUCCCUUGGAUACCUCUGCUGGAUAAAACGGAUCUCCCCCCUGCCCAAGACCCGGACUGGACCUGGAUAAAGAAUUGGAUAACCCCUUCACGGACUCUGCUGCUUCCUGUAAACCAGACGCUGCUAAACCAGCCGUCCUCGUGCCCCAGGAACCGCCAGAGGCUGUGUGCUGCCGCACAAACCAGGGGGGUCCGCGCCGCCACCAUCUUUAAUAAACUGUUAAAGUUUUA